GAGUUUGAUCAUGGCUCAGAUUGAACGCUGGCGGCAGGCUUAACACAUGCAAGUCGAGCGGUAACAUUUCUAGCUUGCUAGAAGAUGACGAGCGGCGGACGGGUGAGUAAUGCUUGGGAAUAUGCCUUGAAGUGGGGGACAACAGUUGGAAACGACUGCUAAUACCGCAUAACGUCUACGGACCAAAGGAGGGGCUCUUCGGACCUCUCGCUUCUUGAUUAGCCCAAGUGAGAUUAGCUAGUUGGUGAGGUAAAGGCUCACCAAGGCGACGAUCUCUAGCUGGUUUGAGAGGAUGAUCAGCCACACUGGGACUGAGACACGGCCCAGACUCCUACGGGAGGCAGCAGUGGGGAAUAUUGCACAAUGGGCGAAAGCCUGAUGCAGCCAUGCCGCGUGUGUGAAGAAGGCCUUCGGGUUGUAAAGCACUUUCAGUUGUGAGGAAAGGUAAGUAGUUAAUAACUGCUUGCUGUGACGUUAGCAACAGAAGAAGCACCGGCUAACUCCGUGCCAGCAGCCGCGGUAAUACGGAGGGUGCGAGCGUUAAUCGGAAUUACUGGGCGUAAAGCGUGCGUAGGCGGAUUAUUAAGUGAGAUGUGAAAGCCCCGGGCUCAACCUGGGAACUGCAUUUCAAACUGGUAGUCUAGAGUUUUGUAGAGGGUGGUGAAAUUUCCAGUGUAGCGGUGAAAUGAGUAGAUAUCUGGAGGAAUACCAGUGGCGAAGGCGGCUCACUGGACCAGAACUGACGCUGAGGCACGAAAGCGUGGGGAGCGAACGGGAUUAGAUACCCCGGUAGUCCACGCCGUAAACGAUGUCAACUAGCUGUCUGGUCCCUCGGGACUUAGUGACGCAGCUAACGCGUGAAGUUGACCGCCUGGGGAGUACGGCCGCAAGGCUAAAACUCAAAUGAAUUGACGGGGGCCCGCACAAGCGGUGGAGCAUGUGGUUUAAUUCGAUGCAACGCGAAGAACCUUACCUGCCCUUGACAUUGAUAGAAUCCUGUAGAGAUACGGGAGUGCCUUCGGGCCUUGAAAACAGGUGCUGCAUGGCUGUCGUCAGCUCGUGUCGUGAGAUGUUGGGUUAAGUCCCGCAACGAGCGCAACCCUUAUCCUUAGUUGCCAGCACGUAAUGGUGGGAACUCUAAGGAGACCGCCGGUGACAAAACCGGAGGAAGGUGGGGAUGACGUCAAGUCAUCAUGGCCCUUAUGGGCAGGGCUACACACGUGCUACAAUGGCCGGUACAGAGGGUUGCCAACCCGCGAGGGGGAGCUAAUCCCAGAAAGCCGGUCGUAGUCCGGAUUGGAGUCUGCAACUCGACUCCAUGAAGUUGGAAUCGCUAGUAAUCGCGAAUCAGCAUUGUCGCGGUGAAUACGUUCCCGGCCUUGUACACACCGCCCGUCACCCCAUGGGAGUGGGCGGCAAAAAGAAGUAGGUAGUUUAACCUUCGGGAGGACACUUACCACUUUGUGGUUCAUGACUGGGGUGAAGUCGUAACAAGGUA
rnacentral:rRNA from 1 species